AUCAUGACCUGAGCCGAAUUCAAGAGUGGAACACUCAACUGACUGAGCUACCCAAGACACCCCUUUAUAUUGUUUUAAUCACAAGGAACUCAGGUCCUUCUUUUUUUCCAUGCUGGCUGUCUACCAGCUGUGUCUGUGAAUGUUCAAGAAAAGAUAAGGAAUGGAGAGCUGGAAUCAGUCAACUGAAUUGCUUGUCAGGAGACUCAGAAGAUUUGGAGAAAGAGAGAGAGAGA